rnacentral:rRNA from 1 species
GACGAACGCUGGCGGCGUGCUUAACACAUGCAAGUCGAACGGUAAGGCCCUUCGGGGUACACGAGUGGCGAACGGGUGAGUAACACGUGGGUGAUCUGCCCUGCACUUCGGGAUAAGCCUGGGAAACUGGGUCUAAUACCGGAUAGGACUCCUGGCUUCAUGGUUGGGGGUGGAAAGCUUUUGCGGUGUGGGGUGGGCCCGCGGCCUAUCAGCUUGUUGGUGGGGGAAUGGCCUACCAAGGCGACGACGGGUAGCCGGCCUGGGAGGGGGGCCGGUCACACUGGGACUGAGAGACGGCCCAGACUCCGACGGGAGGCAGCAGUGGGGAAUAUUGCACAAUGGGCGCAAGCCUGAUGCAGCGACGCCGCGUGAGGGAUGACGGCCUUCGGGUUGUAAACCUCUUUCAGCUAUGACGAAGCGCAAGUGACGGUAGUAGCAGAAGAAGGACCGGCCAACUACGUGCCAGCCGCCGCCGUAA